GGUGUGUGUUCCAGGUAAAUCCGGUUCACUUUAACACUGAGGCGUGAUGACGAGGCACUACGGUGCUGAAGCAACAAAUGCCCUGCUUCCAGGAAAAGCCUCUAAGCAUCAGGUAACAUCAAAUCGUACCCCAAACCGACACAGGUGGUCAGGUAGAGAAUACCAAGGCGCUUGAGAGAACUCGGGUGAAGGAACUAGGCAAAAUGGUGCCGUAACUUCGGGAGAAGGCACGCUGACAUGUAGGUGAAGUGAUUUACUCAUGGAGCUGAAGUCAGUCGAAGAUACCAGCUGGCUGCAACUGUUUAUUAAAAACACAGCACUGUGCAAACACGAAAGUGGACGUAUACGGUGUGACGCCUGCCCGGUGCCGGAAGGUUAAUUGAUGGGGUCAGCGCAAGCGAAGCUCCUGAUCGAAGCCCCGGUAAACGGCGGCCGUAACUAUAACGGUCCUAAGGUAGCGAAAUUCCUUGUCGGGUAAGUUCCGACCUGCACGAAUGGCGUAAUGAUGGCCAGGCUGUCUCCACCCGAGACUCAGUGAAAUUGAACUCGCUGUGAAGAUGCAGUGUACCCGCGGCAAGACGGAAAGACCCCGUGAACCUUUACUAUAGCUUGACACUGAACAUUGAGCCUUGAUGUGUAGGAUAGGUGGGAGGCUUUGAAGCGUGGACGCCAGUCUGCGUGGAGCCGACCUUGAAAUACCACCCUUUAAUGUUUGAUGUUCUAACGUGGAUCCGUAAUCCGGGUUGCGGACAGUGUCUGGUGGGUAGUUUGACUGGGGCGGUCUCCUCCUAAAGAGUAACGGAGGAGCACGAAGGUUGGCUAAUCCUGGUCGGACAUCAGGAGGUUAGUGCAAUGGCAUAAGCCAGCUUGACUGCGAGCGUGACGGCGCGAGCAGGUGCGAAAGCAGGUCAUAGUGAUCCGGUGGUUCUGAAUGGAAGGGCCAUCGCUCAACGGAUAAAAGGUACUCCGGGGAUAACAGGCUGAUACCGCCCAAGAGUUCAUAUCGACGGCGGUGUUUGGCACCUCGAUGUCGGCUCAUCACAUCCUGGGGCUGAAGUAGGUCCCAAGGGUAUGGCUGUUCGCCAUUUAAAGUGGUACGCGAGCUGGGUUUAGAACGUCGUGAGACAGUUCGGUCCCUAUCUGCCGUGGGCGCUGGAGAACUGAGGGGGGCUGCUCCUAGUACGAGAGGACCGGAGUGGACGCAUCACUGGUGUUCGGGUUGUCAUGCCAAUGGCACUGCCCGGUAGCUAAAUGCGGAAGAGAUAAGUGCUGAAAGCAUCUAAGCACGAAACUUGCCCCGA
rnacentral:rRNA from 1 species